GCUUCCUACGGGAGGCAGCAGUGGGGAAUAUUGGACAAUGGGCGCAAGCCUGAUCCAGCCAUGCCGCGUGUGUGAAGAAGGCCUUCGGGUUGUAAAGCACUUUUGUUCGGGAAGAAAAGCUACCGGUUAAUACCCGGGAGUCAUGACGGUACCGAAAGAAUAAGCACCGGCUAACUUCGUGCCAGCAGCCGCGGUAAUACGAAGGGUGCAGGCGUUACUCGGAAUUACUGGGCGUAAAGCGUGCGUAGGUGGUGCGUUAAGUCUGUCGUGAAAGCCCCGGGCUCAACCUGGGAAUGGCGAUGGAUACUGGCGCGCUAGAGUGCGGUAGAGGAGAGUGGAAUUCCCGGUGUAGCAGUGAAAUGCGUAGAGAUCGGGAGGAACAUCAGUUGCGAAGGCGGCUCUCUGGACCAACACUGACACUGAGGCACGAAAGCGUGGGGAGCAAACAGGAUUAGAUACCCUGGUAGUCCACGCCCUAAACGAUGCGAACUGGACGUUGGGAGCAACUAGGCUCUCAGUGUCGAAGCUAACGCGUUAAGUUCGCCGCCUGGGGAGUACGGUCGCAAGACUGAAACUC
rnacentral:rRNA from 1 species